GACGAACGCUGGCGGCGUGCUUAACACAUGCAAGUCGAACGGAAAGGCCUGCUUUCCCUUGUGGAUUGCGGGUGCUCGAGUGGCGAACGGGUGAGUAACACGUGAGUGAUCUGCCCCCAACUUGGGUAUAAGCCCGGGAAACUGGGUCUAAUUCCCGAUAGGACUGCAGGGUGGUGCCUGUGGUGGAAAACGAUUUUCUAGUGGUUGGGGAUGAGCUCGCGGCCUAUCAGCUUGUUGGUGGGGUAAUGGCCUACCAAGGCGGCGACGGGUAGCCGGCCUGAGAGGGUGGACGGCCACAUUGGGACUGGGAUACGGCCCCGACUCCUACGGGAGGCAGCAGUUGGUAAUAUUGCACCAUGGGCGGAAGCCUGAUGCAGCGACGCCGCGUGGGGGAUGACGGCCUUCGGGUUGUAAACUCCUUUCGACCGCGAGGAAGCCACCUGGUUGGAAGGGUGGUGACGGUAGUGGUAGAAGAAGCACCGGCUAACUACGUG
rnacentral:rRNA from 1 species